CAUUACAGUCAUUCACGUCGGUAGUAGGUUACCUGUAACGAGGUAUAAACCUUUCAUAAUAUUCAAUAGAUAUUCAAUGUUACUGGGAAUUUGCAAUAUAACUCCGUUCAUAGGAAGUAGUAAGUUUCCUUCUGUGUCACAAUUGACCAAUUGUAAACUUGUGUUUUUCAUGGAUGUGGGUGAUGGUCUCUGGCUUACGCGUGACGGAACAAUAUAUUCAAUUCAAGAAAAUGUGUAAAACAUUUCAGUACUCCCAGAAAGUGAGGAUCGAUGGAUUGUUUCUCCUGCACUGGAGAAAUGGAUAUUCAAUCUCUUAAUGUUGAAAAGGAGUGAGUGCCGUUGUGCCACAAGAAAACUUUUGUUUUAUUUGUAGUUCUCGGGCUCAUGUUAAAUUGGUUCCACAAUAUCACUUACCCAAAAGAAAUGUGGGACUUCAAGUACAGUACAGAAGAACACGAAGUCUGUGACCUCCAGAGAAGCUGGGAAGCCAUCAGUUGAGUUGCCGCAACGCCAUGGUCUCUUCUAUAGUCCUCAUCAAAAAUGCUCUUCAAGGAGACUCCCCGCAUCCAGAAACACCUUAACAAGUUCGCCAGCGUCCCCGUACGAUCUUUAGAUGGAGACGCCGAAUACAACACACAACUCUGCUUGUUGUGUUAUUGUAGGACUUUUGCCGCCUUUUGAUGGAUGCUUUGCCAGCCGAGUGAUAUUUAAUCCAUGUGAUGUUUAAGAUGAACGCCAAUAUGUUCCAUCGGGAUAUUCGGCCACAUCAUCAACAAUCACAAACUAUUCCAAUAUCUAUGCAUCACCUAUUUUAUGUGCCAGUUCCCAUUUCACUGCCUUCACAAAUCAAUCAACUGUAGCCAGUGGAACGUUUGGAUUCAAAAGAAAGAGUUUCUCAGUUGGAAGAUCAAAAGCGGAUGCUGAAACUACAGAAGAAGAUUCAGAAAUUGUAGAUUAGUUUGGAGGAAGCCAAAGCCAAACAGGCUGUUCCUCCCAGUGGAAUUAAGAGCCAGCAGAGCGUCAACGACAAAUCGAUAUCUGCAGCUAUUUUUCACUGGAGCAAGAAGCCGAACUUCGCCGAACUUUGUGUGUUCCUGAAAAGAAUCAUUCUACCUCAUCUUGUGUCUCUUCUAAAAUUCUGAAUGAAAUUGAUCUUCUGCAAGUCCAAUUGAGCAAUGUGAUCCCUCAACCGGAGCUGUCGUUGUCGACCGUCGUCGCAUUGGAAAGAUAACCGACAACUAUCAUGAGUCGA